rnacentral:rRNA from 1 species
UACGGGAGGCAGCAGCGGGGAAUAUUGCACAAUGGGCGCAAGCCUGAUGCAGCCAUGCCGCGUGUAUGAAGAAGGCCUUCGGGUUGUAAAGUACUUUCAGUCGUGAGGAAGGUGUUAAGGUUAAUAACCUUAGCAAUUGACGUUAGCGACAGAAGAAGCACCGGCUAACUCCGUGCCAGCAGCCGCGGUAAUACGGAGGGUGCGAGCGUUAAUCGGAAUUACUGGGCGUAAAGGGCACGCAGGCGGUUAAUUAAGUUGGAUGUGAAAUCCCCGGGCUUAACCUGGGAAUGGCAUUCAAGACUGGUUAGCUAGAGUCUUGUAGAGGGGGUAGAAUUCCAUGUGUAGCGGUGAAAUGCGUAGAGAUGUGGAGGAAUACCGGUGGCGAAGGCGGCCCCUGGGACAAAGGCUGACGCUCAUGUGCGAAAGCGUGGGGAGCAAAC